CAGCCUGUAGCCUAGUGGCUAAGGUAUAUGACUGGGACCCCUGAGGUUGGUGGUUCAAGUCCCAGUCCAGCCACA
rnacentral:tRNA from 1 species